AGGUCAUGAUGGGGGCACUGUCUCAGCAUACUCUUGAAUCUAUCUCAUGCUUCGAACAAUGAUUCCAGGUCAAUCUAUUUGAAGCUUGCAAUUAAAUUCCUCAUGU